rnacentral:rRNA from 1 species
AUGGCGCGCAUCCAGCUCGUGGCUCUGGCCCUGACCAUGCUGUUCGCCGCCACCGCGGCCCAGGCCCCGGCGGCCACCCCGAUGCCCGCCCCCGUGGCCCCGGUGUCCCCGCCUCCGACGAUGCCGCCGCCGACCCCGGCUCCGGUGUCUCCCCCGCCGGCCGUGGCCCCCGCCACCCCUCCCCCGGCACCGGCGCCCGUCACACCGGCUCCCGCCCCCAUGGUCCCUGCCCCGACUCCCUCGACCAUGGCCCCCACCCCAGAGAUCAGCUCGCCGCCGGAGCCGUCGAUGAUGACCCCGACCCCUGCCCCGUCCAUGGACGCGCCCACCACCCCCGCCGGCGCCGCAGGCACCGUCCACCCCGCCGCCGCGUGGGCCGCCACCGCCGCCCUGGCCGCCGCCGCCGCCUUCUACUGA